rnacentral:rRNA from 1 species
UUACAAUGGAGAGUUUGAUCCUGGCUCAGGAUGAACGCUAGCGGCAGGCCUAAUACAUGCAAGUCGGACGGGAUCCAU